GAUGAACGCUGGCGGCGUGCCUAAAACAUGCAAGUCGAGCGAACAGACGAGGAGCUUGCUCCUCUGACGUUAGCGGCGGACGGGUGAGUAACACGUGGAUAACCUACCUAUAAGACUGGGAUAACUUCGGGAAACCGGAGCUAAUACCGGAUAAUAUAUUGAACCGCAUGGUUCAAUAGUGAAAGACGGUUUUGCUGUCACUUAUAGAUGGAUCCGCGCCGCAUUAGCUAGUUGGUAAGGUAACGGCUUACCAAGGCGACGAUGCGUAGCCGACCUGAGAGGGUGAUCGGCCACACUGGAACUGAGACACGGUCCAGACUCCUACGGGAGGCAGCAGUAGGGAAUCUUCCGCAAUGGGCGAAAGCCUGACGGAGCAACGCCGCGUGAGUGAUGAAGGUCUUCGGAUCGUAAAACUCUGUUAUUAGGGAAGAACAAAUGUGUAAGUAACUAUGCACGUCUUGACGGUACCUAAUCAGAAAGCCACGGCUAACUACGU
rnacentral:rRNA from 1 species